AGUUUAUUGUUGAUUAUAAUAAAUGGUUCCUGCCCAGUGAUUAAUUUAAACGGCCGCGGUACUCUGACCGUGCAAAGGUAGCAUAAUCACUUGCCUCUUAAUUGGGGGCUGGUAUGAAUGGAAGUUCGGGAGUUAAGCUGUCUCUAGGCUAAAUGUGGAAUUUGCUGUUUCUGUGAAGAAGCAGGGGUAAUGCAAAAGGACAAGAAGACCCUAUUAAGCUUUACUUUUUGAUGUAGUUCUAAUCAUUGGUGUUGUAAGGGAUUGCAGUAAGAAAAGUUUGGUUGGGGUGACCAAAGAAGACGAAAUCUUCUUUUUUUUAUAAACAGAUUGGUUUAUAGUUGAUCCGAAAAAUUUCGAGCGAAAGAAAAAGCUACUAUAGGGAUAACAGCGUUAUUUUUUCUUAGAGUUCUAAUCGAAGAAAAAGAUUGCGACCUCGAUGUUGACUUGUCAUAUCCUGUAUUGUGGUGCAGAUGUUGCAAGGGUUGGUCUGUUCGACCAUUAAAAAU
rnacentral:rRNA from 1 species